AUAAAAGAUCACCCUUCAGCUAUAUUAUUAUUAUUAUAUUUUAUAAAAAUCAUGAAUAGGAUCCAGCAGUUCGAAAAAGCCGCAAUAAUGGAUAUUGAGGGCUUUUCAUUCAAAAGUGGAAUUUUCCACAGGACGAUUUCGUUAAUAUCACUAGAUGACGAAGAAGACUAUUGCACGUUUCAUUUUUACACCACAAAACCUCAUCAUAACUACCACAAGCUUUCGCCAUCAGAGAAAAAAAACUAUAAAUUUCCAACGGAGGUUACACGGAUUAAAGAUAGAAUACCCACCAUAGCCCGACAACCCAACAACAGCGUGGUAUGAGUACAGAUCUUUGGUGAUGGAACGUAUUAAAGCCAUUAAAAACGUCAUUUUUUACAAGGGAGGGCAUAUUGAGAAAGAUCUAUGCCUAAAAUACGCCAUUCCCCAUGUCGAUCUAGAACAGUGGUUCCCAACCUUUUUCUCCUUGCGAACCCCUUGUAAAAUCCGAAAGAAAUUGGUGAACCCCUUGUGUAGUCGUUAAUAACAGGUAAGAAAACAAUAAUAUUUGGUAGAACAUUUAUUUUCCAUGUUGCACAAU
rnacentral:lncRNA from 1 species